rnacentral:rRNA from 1 species
UACGUAGGGGGCAAGCGUUGUCCGGAUUCAUUGGGCGUAAAGAGCUCGUAGGCGGCUUGGCAAGUCGGGUGUGAAAACUCCAGGCUCAACCUGGAGACGCCACCCGAUACUGCCAUGGCUUGAGUCCGGUAGGGGACCACGGAAUUCCUGGUGUAGCGGUGAAAUGCGCAGAUAUCAGGAGGAACACCGGUGGCGAAGGCGGUGGUCUGGGCCGGUACUGACGCUGAUGCGCGACAGCGUGGGGAGCAAACAGG